GUUGAAAUGACGCAAAUGCGUAGGUGAAAGACAGCAACGGCAAAAGAGAAAUAAGGGGAGGCAAAGUUCGAAAAGGCGGAAGGAGUAAAAAGAAAUCAAACACUUCUGGUUAUCUUCCCCGUGUGUGUAAUGGGGCUGGCAGCCUGACUGAACUGAAAUGAAAGAGAGAGAAAGAAAGAAAGAAAGAGAGAGAGAAAGAGAGAGAGAGAGA
rnacentral:lncRNA from 1 species